GGUUAAGCGACUAAGCGUACACGGUGGAUGCCCUGGCAGUCAGAGGCGAUGAAGGGCGUGCUAAUCUGCGAUAAGCGCCGGUAAGGUGAUAUGAACCGUUAUAACCGGCGAUACCCGAAUGGGGAAACCCAGUGUGACUCGUCACACUAUCAUUAACUGAAUCCAUAGGUUAAUGAGGCGAACCGGGGGAACUGAAACAUCUAAGUACCCCGAGGAAAAGAAAUCAACCGAGAUUCCCCCAGUAGCGGCGAGCGAACGGGGAGGAGCCCAGAGCCUGAAUCAGCAUGUGUGUUAGUGGAAGCGUCUGGAAAGGCGCGCGAUACAGGGUGACAGCCCCGUACACAAAAGCGCAUGUGCUGUGAGCUCGAUGAGUAGGGCGGGACACGUGGUAUCCUGUCUGAAUAUGGGGGGACCAUCCUCCAAGGCUAAAUACUCCUGACUGACCGAUAGUGAACCAGUACCGUGAGGGAAAGGCGAAAAGAACCCCGGCGAGGGGAGUGAAAAAGAACCUGAAACCGUGUACGUACAAGCAGUGGGAGCACCCUUUGGGGUGUGACUGCGUACCUUUUGUAUAAUGGGUCAGCGACUUAUAUUCUGUAGCAAGGUUAACCGUAUAGGGGAGCCGGAGGGAAACCGAGUCUUAACCGGGCGUUAAGUUGCAGGGUAUAGACCCGAAACCCGGUGAUCUAGCCAUGGGCAGGUUGAAGGUUGGGUAACACUAACUGGAGGACCGAACCGACUAAUGUUGAAAAAUUAGCGGAUGACCUGUGGCUGGGGGUGAAAGGCCAAUCAAACCGGGAGAUAGCUGGUUCUCCCCGAAAGCUAUUUAGGUAGCGCCUCGUGAAUUCAUCUCCGGGGGUAGAGCACUGUUUCGGCUAGGGGGCCAUCCCGGCUUACCAACCCGAUGCAAACUGCGAAUACCGGAGAAUGUUAUCACGGGAGACACACGGCGGGUGCUAACGUCCGUCGUGAAGAGGGAAACAACCCAGACCGCCAGCUAAGGUCCCAAAGUCAUGGUUAAGUGGGAAACGAUGUGGGAAGGCCCAGACAGCCAGGAUGUUGGCUUAGAAGCAGCCAUCAUUUAAAGAAAGCGUAAUAGCUCACUGGUCGAGUCGGCCUGCGCGGAAGAUGUAACGGGGCUAAACCAUGCACCGAAGCUGCGGCAGCGACACUCAGGUGUUGUUGGGUAGGGGAGCGUUCUGUAAGCCUGUGA
rnacentral:rRNA from 1 species